GUCCCCAUCGUCUAGCCCGGUCCAGGACACCGGCCUUUCACGUCGGCAACACGAGUUCAAAUCUCGUUGGGGACGCCA
rnacentral:tRNA from 1 species